rnacentral:rRNA from 1 species
GACGAACGCUGGCGGCGUGCUUAACACAUGCAAGUCGAACAAUGAAGCCGGAGCUUGCUCUGGUGAAUUAGUGGCGAACGGGUGAGGAACACGUGAGUAACCUGCCCUUGACUCUGGGAUAACUGCGGGAAACUGUAGCUAAUACCGGAUACGACCCUCGGAGGCAUCUCCUGGGGGUGGAAAGAAUGUCAGGGCAAGGAUGGACUCGCGGCCUAUCAGCUAGUGGGUGAGGUAAAGGCUCACCAAGGCGACGACGGGUAGCCGGCCUGAGAGGGGCACCGCCCACACUGGGACUGAGACACGGCCAAGGCUCCGACGGGGGGCAGCAGUGGGGAAUAUUGCACAAUGGGCGCGAGGCUGAGGCAGUGGCGCCGCCUGAGGGAUGCCGGCCUUCGGGUUGUAAACCUCUUUUAGCAGGGAAGAAGCGAAAGUGACGGUACCUGCAGAAAAAGCACCGGCUAACUACGUGCCAGCCGCCGCCGUAA